AUCAAGGGUGGGAAUUCCAGGGUGGGAAUCCAGUUGGAGGCUCAGGAUAAAAUAAAUCCCAGCUGAUCCAGUCUGGGAAUUCUGGGAUCUGAUCCCGCAGGGCCUGGCUCCAAGGAGGAGCAAGGGAAGGCUUGGAAAACUGGGAAGGGCAUGGAAAAGCAGAGGGAAUGGAAAAACAGGGAUGGCGCGGAAAACAGGGAGAGCAGGGGGGAAAUGGAGAGCACGGAAAAACCAGGGAGGGCCUGGAAAACCAUGGAGAACAUGGAAAACCAAGGAAAACAUGGAAAAGCAGAAGGAAUUAAAAAAAGAGGGAGGGCAUGGAAAACAGGGAGAGCUUGGAAAACCAAAAGGAAUGGAAAACUGAGCAUGGAAAAUCAGGGAGAACGUGGAAAUCCAUGGAGAUCAUGGAGAACCAAGGAAAACAUGGAAAACCGUGGAGAACAUGGAAAACCAUUGAGAACAUGGAAAGCCAUGGAGAACAUGGAAAACCAUGGAGAACAUGGAAAACCAAGGAAAACCUGGAAAACCAUGGAGAACAUGGAAAACCGUGGAGAACAUGGAAAACCAAGGAAAACCUGGAAAACCAAGGAGAACAUGGAAAACCGUGGAGAACAUGGAAAGCCAUGGAGAACAUGGAAAACCAUGGAGAACAUGGAAAACCAAGGAAAACCUGGAAAACCAAGGAGAACAUGGAAAACCAUGGAGAACAUGGAAAACCGUGGAGAACAUGGAAAACCAAGGAAAACAUGGAACACCAUGGAGAACAUGGAAAACCAAGGAAAACAUGGAAAACCGUGGAGAACAUGGAAAACCGUGGAGAACAUGGAAAACCAUGGAGAACAUGGAAAACCAUGGAGAACAUGGAAAGCCAUGGAGAACAUGGAAAACUGUGGAGAACAUGGAAAACCAAGGAAAACAUGGAAAACCAUGGAGAACAUGGAAAACCAUGGAGAACAUGGAAAACCAAGGAAAACCAAGGAAAACCAAGGAAAUGUGGAAAACCAUGGAGAACAGGGGAAAAGAUGGAAAACCAGGGGGAAUGUGGGAUCCUGCUGAGCCUCCAGAGUGCCGCAUUCCCACAUGGAAAAUCCCAAAUUCCCAUAGGAGCUGGGGCAGCAUGGGUGGCCUCGGAGCCAGCCCUGCUGCCGGGGACAUUCCGAAGUUUUCCCGGGAUUUGGGAUCCCUCCACGUGGCCGCUCCGGUGACAUCCAGGGACAAAGCGCCACCGGAUCUGGGAAAAGGGAAGGGAUGGAGCGGGAUCAGCUCCCACCCUUCCAGGGGUACCCAGGGACAUCCCAGGUGGCCACCAGGGCUGGGAAAAACAAGGAAUUCUGGCAGCGGGAAGCAGGGAAUGGUGGGAGGGGAGAGGAUUUCAGGGAAUCUGGGAAUGUGGAGCAGGAGGGGAAAGCAGCAGGAAAUGUGGGGAUGGGGGAGAUGGAGCAAUCCUGGAGAUCUCCCGGAAUUCUCCUGGAGAUCUCUUGGAAUUCUCCUGGAGCUCUCCUGGAUCUAUCCUGGAGAUCUCCUGGAUCUCACUUGGAGCUCUCCUGGUGGUCUCUUGGAGUUCCCCUGGAGCUCUCCUGAAAUUCCAGAGCUCUCCCAGAGCUCUCCUGAAAUUCCAGAGCUCUCCCAGAGCCCUCUUGGAGUUCUCCUGGAGUUCCAGAGCUCUCCCAGAGCUCUCCUGGAAUUCCAGGGCUCUCCCGGAGUUGUCCUGGAGCUCUCCUGGAAUUCCAGAGCUCUCCUGGAAUUCCAGGACUCUCCCGGAGCUCUCUUGGAGCUCUCCUGGAGCUCUCCUGGAAUUCCAGAGCUCACCUGGAGCUCUCCUGGAAUUCCAGGGCUCUCCCGGAGCUCUCUUGGAGCUCUCCUGGAGCUCUCCUGGAAUUCCAGAGCUCACCUGGAGCUCUCCUGGAAUUCCAGGGCUCUCCUGGAGCUCUCUUGGAGCUCUCCUGGAGCUCUCCUGGAAUUCCAGAGCUCUCCUGGAGCUCUCCUGGCAGGGUUUGGGAUCUGCCCGGAGAUGGGAAAUCAAAACCUGGGACUGCCGGGUGUGGGAGAGGAGGGAGAGGAGCGGGAUGAGGAGCNNNNNNNNNNNNNNNNNNNNNNNNNNNNNNNNNNNNN
rnacentral:lncRNA from 1 species